GGUUGGGUCAAAAAGAUCGUGAAUUAUGUUAAAAUGACCGUCUUUUAAGAAAGCCUUGAAAACUAAAAAGUAGAUGUCCAUUUCAUGCUUUGCCCAGCCGGACAAAUUAUACAAAUGUCCGGAAUAUAUGACCGUUUUGGAAGCCUUGCCCCACAUUGUCAUUGGAGAAAUAAAAUAAGUGUAAGAAAAAAAAAUUGUAUCAAAAAAAAAAAUUGAAUCAUAAUUUCCUAUCAAUAUGCACAUCUACAUAGUAUGUCCUUAUUAUCUACACAGUUUCAUGAAAUUCUGUUGUGUGGUUUGAGAGGAGUUGCGAUGACAAAAGGUUGCAGAAGUAUAUUGGGCAAAUAAGUUCAAAGGGGCGUAACUCCUGGAAAAAAAAUUGAAUCGUAAUUUCCUGUCGAUAUGCACAUCUACAUAGUAUUUCCUUAUUAUCUUAAAAGGUUUCAUGAAAUUCUGUUGUGUGGUUUGAGAGGAGUUGCGAUGACAAAAGGUUGCAGUAGUAUAUUGGGCAAAUAAGUUCAAAGGGGCGUAACUCCUGGAAAAAAAAUUGAAUCGUAAUUUCCUGUCGAUAUGCACAUCUACGUAGUAUGUCCUUAUUAUCUGAAAAGGUUUCAUGAAAUUCUGUUGUGUGAUUUGAGAGGAGUUGCGAUGACAAAAUGUUGCAGUAGUACAUUAAAGUAAAUAAGUUCAAAGGGGCGUAACUCCUAGAAAAAGAAUUGAAUCGUAAUUUCCUGUUGAUAUGCACAACUACAUAGUAUGUCCUUAUUAUCUAAAAAGGUUUCGUGAAAUUCUGUUGUGUGGUUUGAGAGGAGUUGCGAUGACAAGAAACAGGACUGACGGACGGACAGACGGACGGGUCAAAAACAUUAUACCCUCCGCAACUCGUUGCGUGGGGUAUAAAUAGAAAUUCACAAAGCAAAAUAAAUUGCUUCGCUGAGCACAGCUGGAUACGACCGCAGAUGUCCAACCCUGAAAAGUUGGGGCAAAAAUGGACACAAUAUUCACGCUUGAUACAGGUUUGAAUUUGGAUUGUAAUUAAAUAUUUGACACAGAAUAACUGUAGUCAAAGAACUUAAAAAUUGGUUAUAUGAUUUGAAUAUAUAUUCAAUUUUUUGCUUUUGUGCAAUACACUAUGCUGUUGCAAAUAGUCCCCCCCCACAA